rnacentral:rRNA from 1 species
GACGAACGCUGGCGGCGUGCCUAACACAUGCAAGUCGAGCGGAGCCAUCCGGACAAUCCCUUCGGGGUGCGUCCGGGGAAGCUUAGCGGCGGACGGGUGAGUAACGCGUGAGAAACCUGCCUUUCAGUGGGGGACAACAGUUGGAAACGACUGCUAAUACCGCAUAAUGUAUUUAGGGGGGCAUCCCCUGGAUACCAAAGCUUAAUGUGCUGAAAGAUGGUCUCGCGUCUGAUUAGCUAGAUGGCGGGGUAACGGCCCACCAUGGCGACGAUCAGUAGCCGGUCUGAGAGGAUGAACGGCCACAUUGGGACUGAGAUACGGCCCAGACUCCUACGGGAGGCAGCAGUGGGGAAUAUUGGGCAAUGGGCGAAAGCCUGACCCAGCGACGCCGCGUGAGGGAAGAAGAUCUUCGGAUUGUAAACCUUAGUCAACAGGGAAGAAGAAAGUGACGGUACCUGUGGAGGAAGCCACGGCUAACUACGUG